CUUCUGAGAGUUCCCGAUGGCAAUAGAAACCCAGGCUCAGUCCCUAUUGACACGAACUGAAAUGAAGUCAGUUCCAUUCAAUUAAUUGGACUGCUUGGCAGCUAAGCCUCUUAUUUUUGUAGGGCCCCUUUUACAGCUUUGGAAGUUCCCACAUGGAAGGAAGGUUGAAUCAUUCUAUUCCUCACUUGACUUAUUUGGAUGUGAAGUCAUUUGGAAGGGGUUCAGGCACAAGCUGAUGCCGCUGGCUCGGGGCUCCAAGUUCUCAGGAGAGUGCCUGGAGAACAAGGUCAACACAGCCCAUUUCCAUGACUGCACACAAUGGCCCAACGGCACACCUAGCUAGUUCAUUUAUAAAGAACACCUGGUCCUGCUGGCGAGCUGAUUCAGGAGGGAGAACGCACUGAGUUCAGAUAAGGCAAGAAAUGGAACCAGGGGGUGCUGGGUCUGGGGCAAAUCACACCCCGCGCCGAGCCAGCCCAAACAAUGUUCUACAGGUGAAAUCAAGUUGGAGCCAGGUCUGGUUGUCUAGAGUUACCUACCUACAUCCUUCUUCCCAGACCUGCUAUCUUCCGGCCUCACUGGCUAGCAGGAUGUGCCCUUCCUUGGUCACCCUACAGAAGUACCAGGCUUGAAGCCAUAGCCUAUUUCACAAAAUACCAGAAGCUCAGAAUUCGAGACCUCUCCCUGAAGGAGAACACCAUUUGGACCAUGCCCAACAGGAAAGGGAGGGAAGGAGGGAAGACCAUCUAGCCACUGUCUUUUCCAGCACCUUUUCCUUCUUUCCCUCUCUUUUAAAAAUUAAUUAAUUUUUGUGAAAUCUUCUCCACCACCACCUCCCCAUUAUACAUGUAUUAUUAGCAUGCAAAACAUACUUCCAUAUUAUUCAUUUUUGUAGGUGAUGAUCAUAUAAAACCUAAACCUCAAAGCAUAUACCCAAAUAAACAAGUGAAAAAUCGUUAUGUUUUCA
rnacentral:lncRNA from 1 species